GCGAAAUUUAAUUAAUUUUUUUUUUCAAUUUCACAAUUUUAAGAUGAAAUGAAAGAAUGCUUUCCAAUACGUCGCUUAAUCAUAAUUGGAUUUUUAAUUAUAUUAACAUUAGCGAUUGCAUUAUUUUUUAUUGAAAAUAGUUUUAUUGAUUACACCUUAAAAUGGUUUAAAAACAGGAAUAUACCAUAUACUUUAAACCAAAAUUAUUUAAAUCAAACACAAUGUGAUCAAUUUUUGCUUCAAAAAGACUUUCCAUGUUUGGAGUGUAAACUUUAUCAGAAUGAUUCUAUUGCACCAUUAUGUGGUCAUAUGGAAUAUUUUCAAAAAAUAUAUUGUAAUAACACUAGCUACCAUUAUAAAAAAUGUCUUAGUCCAAAGUAUCAAGAAACAAAACAAUUUUGGACUUUCGAGUGUUGCAUGAUAUUGCUAUCAUUCUUCACAUAUAUAUUAUAUAGAAUUAAACAAUGUCAAAUUGAAGUUAUAAUAAAUCGAAAAUUUGAAAGAUUACUUAAUCCUAUUAGCUAAAUUAUUUAUAACACAAAUUAAUAUGAUUCAUA